rnacentral:rRNA from 1 species
UACAGAGGUCUCAAGCGUUGUUCGGAUUCAUUGGGCGUAAAGGGUGCGUAGGUGGCCAGGUAAGUCGGAUGUGAAAUCCCGGGGCUCAACCCCGGAACUGCAUUCGAUACUGCCCGGCUCGAGUACUGGAGAGGAGAUUGGAAUUUACGGUGUAGCAGUGAAAUGCGUAGAUAUCGUAAGGAAGACCAGUGGCGAAGGCGGAUCUCUGGACAGUUACUGACACUGAGGCACGAAGGCCAGGGGAGCAAACGGG